UACGGAGGGUGCGAGCGUUGUUCGGAAUCACUGGGCGUAAAGCGCGUGUAGGCGGCCCACUAAGUCCGAUGUGAAAGCCCGGGGCUCACCCCCCGGAAGUGCAUUGGAAACUGGUGGACUCGAGUCCCGGAGAGGAGAGUGGAAUUCCUGGUGUAGCGGUGAAAUGCGUAGAUAUCAGGAGGAACACCGGUGGCGAAGGCGGCUCUCUGGACGGUGACUGACGCUGAGACGCGAAAGCGUGGGGAGCAAACAGG
rnacentral:rRNA from 1 species